rnacentral:rRNA from 1 species
AAACCCAAAAAACUACGAGCGCAAGCUUAAAACUUAAAGGACUUGACGGUAUCUAUCUGCCUAGAGGAGCCUGUUUUAUAAUUGAUGAUCCUCACUUAACCUCACCUUUUUUAGCUAAUCAGUCUGUAUACUUCCGUCGCAAGCUUACCAUAUGAAUGUAUUAGUAAGCUAAACAGUUAAAACGUCAGGUCAAAGUGCAGCCUACAAAAAGGGAAAAAAUGGGCUACAGUUUCUACCUUAAGAAUAAACGAAGCACUAUACAAUGCUAUAAAGGCGGAUUUAGAAGUAAAGUGAAAAUAGAGUGUUCACUUUAACAAUGCUCUGGGACACGUACACACCGCCCGUCACCCU